CAGAGGUCUCGAGCGUUGUUCGGAUUCAUUGGGCGUAAAGGGUGCGUAGGUGGCUAGGUAAGUCGGAUGUGAAAUCCCGGGGCUCAACCCCGGAACUGCAUUCGAUACUGCUUGGCUUGAGUACUGGAGAGGAGAUUGUAAUUUACGGUGUAGCAGUGAAAUGCGUAGAUAUCGUAAGGAAGACCAGUGGCGAAGGCGGAUCUCUGGACAGUUACUGACACUGAGGCACGAAGGCCAGGGGAGCAAACGGG
rnacentral:rRNA from 1 species